rnacentral:rRNA from 1 species
UGGGGAAUUUUGGACAAUGGGGGAAACCCUGAUCCAGCCAUCCCGCGUGUGCGAUGAAGGCCUUCGGGUUGUAAAGCACUUUUGGCAGGAAAGAAACGUCGCGGGUUAAUACCCCGCNAAACUGACGGUACCUGCAGAAUAAGCACCGGCUAACUACGUGCCAGCAGCCGCGGUAAUACGUAGGGUGCAAGCGUUAAUCGGAAUUACUGGGCGUAAAGCGUGCGCAGGCGGUUCGGAAAGAAAGAUGUGAAAUCCCAGAGCUUAACUUUGGAACUGCAUUUUUAACUACCGGGCUAGAGUGUGUCAGAGGGAGGUGGAAUUCCGCGUGUAGCAGUGAAAUGCGUAGAUAUGCGGAGGAACACCGAUGGCGAAGGCAGCCUCCUGGGAUAACACUGACGCUCAUGCACGAAAGCGUGGGGAGCAAACAGGAUUAGAUACCCUGGUAGUCCACGCCCUAAACGAUGUCAACUAGCCUGUUGGGGGCCUUCGGGCCUUGGUAGCGCAGCUAACGCGUGAAGUUACCGCCUGGGGAGUACGGUCGCAAGAUUAAAACUCAAAUGAA